rnacentral:rRNA from 1 species
GACGAACGCUGGCGGCGUGCUUAACACAUGCAAGUCGAACGAAGAGCGAUGGAAGCUUGCUUCUAUCAAUCUUAGUGGCGAACGGGUGAGUAACGCGUAAUCAACCUGCCCUUCAGAGGGGGACAACAGUUGGAAACGACUGCUAAUACCGCAUACGAUCUGACCUCGGCAUCGAGGAUAGAUGAAAGGUGGCCUCUAUUUAUAAGCUAUCACUGAAGGAGGGGAUUGCGUCUGAUUAGCUAGUUGGAGGGGUAACGGCCCACCAAGGCGAUGAUCAGUAGCCGGUCUGAGAGGAUGAACGGCCACAUUGGGACUGAGACACGGCCCAGACCCCUACGGGAGGCAGCAGUGGGGAAUCUUCCGCAAUGGACGAAAGUCUGACGGAGCAACGCCGCGUGAGUGAUGACGGCCUUCGGGUUGUAAAGCUCUGUUAAUCGGGACGAAAGGCCUUCUUGCGAAUAGUUAGAAGGAUUGACGGUACCGGAAUAGAAAGCCACGGCUAACUACGUG